rnacentral:rRNA from 1 species
GACGAACGCUGGCGGCGUGCCUAAUACAUGCAAGUCGAACGCAGUGGGGACGGGUGAGUAACACGUGGGUAACCUCCCAUCAGAGGGGAUAAAACUUGGCAACAGGUGCUAAACCGACACUGAUGGAUGGACUCGCGGUGCAUGAGACAGUUGGGGAGGUAGCGGCUCACCAAGGACACGAUGCAUAGCCGAGCUGAGAGGGCGAUCGGCGAAACUGGGACUGAGACACGGCCCAGACUCCUACGGGAGGAAGCAGUAGGGAAUCUUCGGCAAUGGACGAAAGCCUGACCGAGCAACCCCGCGUGAAUGAAGAAGGUUUUCGGAUCGUAAAACUCUGUUGUUAGAGAAGCGGUAUCUGAACAGAAAGCCACGGCUAACUACGUGCCAGCAGCCGCGGUAAUAC